GGCAUAACUUGAUCCCGGGCACACAUAAGGUGGCAUGGCUUUUUCUCUCUCUCCCCCUGGAAAUCUCUGAUCUACUCUCUAGCAUAUGGAUUUACAUAUUCUGGACAUUUCAUAUAAAUGGAAUCAUCCAACUCAACAUUCAGAAAACUAAAAUCAUGGCAUCUGGUCCCAUUACUUUAUGGCAAAUAGAUGGGGAAACAAUGGAAACAGUGACAGACUUUAUUUUCUUGGGCUCCAAAAUCACUGCAGAUGGUGACUGCAGCCAUGAAAUUAGAUAAUGCUUGCUCCUUGGAAGAAAAGCUAUGACCAACCUAGACAACAUAUUAAAUAGCAGAGAGAUUACUUUACCAACAAAGGUCUGUCUAGUCAAAGCUAUGGUUUUUUCAAUAAUCAUGUAUGGAUGUGAGAGUCGGACCAUAAAGAAGGCUGAGCACUGAAGAAUUGACGCUUUUGAACUGUGGUGUUGGAGAAGACUCUUGAGAGUCCCUUGGACUGCAAAGAGAUCAAAUCAGUCAAUCCUCAAGGAAACCAGUCCUGAAUAUUGACUGAUGCCGAAGCUGUGAUAGUUUGGUCACCUGAUGUGAAGAGCUGACUCAUUUGAAAAGACCCUGAUGCUGGGAAAAAUUGAAGGCGGGAGGAGAAGGGGACUACAGAGGAUGAGAUGGUUGGAUGGCAUCACUGACUCAAUGGACACGAAUUUGAGCAAACUCCAGGAGAUGAAGGACAGGGAAACCUGGCAUGCUGCAGUCCAAGGGGUCACAGAGUCGGACACCACUGAGCGACAGAACAACAAAUAUGCAGCCUUUUGUGUGUAACUUUCUUAGCAUGUUUUCAAGAUUUAAGGUUCAUAAACCAGUACCUCAUUCCUUUUAUGACUGGAAAAUAUUCUAUUGCAUGGAUAGACCGUAUUUUGUGUAUUCAUUCAUCUUGGUGGAGAUUUGAGUUGUUUUCUUUCUUUUUUUUUACUAUUGUAAAUAAUGCUUCUAUGAACAUCCAUGUACAGAUUUUUGUGUGGACAUGUUUUCAUUUCUGUUGGAUAUAUGCCUAGGAGUGGAACUGCUGGAUUAUGUGGUUAAGUCUAUAUUUGACUGUUUGAGGAACUGCCAGACUGUAUCCAAAGCAGCUGUCAUUUUGCAUUCCCACCAGUAAUGUGUGAUGGUUCCAACUUCUUUACAUCCUCCUCUACACUUUUUAUUGUCCAUGUUUUUGCUUAUAGCCAUCUUAAUGCAUGUGAAGUAGUAUCUCUUUCUGGUUUCAAUUUGCAUUUUUUUCUGCUAACUAUGUUGAGUGUCUUUUAUGUGCUUAUUGGCCAUUUAUCUUCUUUGAAG
ensembl:lncRNA